CGCGUAGGCGGUUUGUUAAGUCGGAUGUGAAAGCCCCGGGCUCAACCUGGGAAUUGCACCCGAUACUGGCCGACUCGAGUACGAGAGAGGGAGGUAGAAUUCCACGUGUAGCGGUGAAAUGCGUAGAUAUGUGGAGGAAUACCGGUGGCGAAGGCGGCCUCCUGGCUCGAUACUGACGCUGAGGUGCGAAAGCGUGGGGAGCAAACA
rnacentral:rRNA from 1 species